UACGUAGGGAGCAAGCGUUGUCCGGUAUCAUUGGGCGUAAAGGGCGCGUAGGCGGCCUGACAAGUGGAAGGUGAAAUCCCUCGGCUUAACCGAGGAACUGCCCUCCAAACUGUCUGGCUUGAGACCGGGAGAGGUGAGUGGAAUUCCCAGUGUAGCGGUGAAAUUCGUAGAUAUUGGGAAGAACACCGGUGGCGAAGGCGGCUCACUGGCUCGUAUCUGACGCUCAGGCGCGACAGCGUGGGGAUCAAACAGG
rnacentral:rRNA from 1 species